ACUCCUACGGGAGGCAGCAGUGGGGAAUAUUGCACAAUGGGGAAACCCUGAUGCAGCCAUGCCGCGUGUGUGAAGAAGGCCUCGGUUGUAAGCACUUCAGUAGGAGGAAGGUAGUGUAGUUAACACCUGCACUAUUUGACGUUACCUACAGAAGAAGCACCGGCUAACUCCGUGCCAGCAGCCGCGGUAAUACGGAGGGGUGCGAGCGUUAAUCGGAAUUACUGGGCGUAAAGCGCAUGCAGGCGGCCUGUUAAGUCAGAUGUGAAAGCCCGGGGGCUUAACCUCGGAAUUGCAUUUGAAACUGGCAGGCUAGAGUCUUGUAGAGGGGGUAGAAUUUCAGGUGUAGCGGUGAAAUGCGUAGAGAUCUGAAGGAAUACCAGUGGCGAAGGCGGCCCCCUGGACAAAGACUGACGCUCAGAUGCGAAAGCGUGGGGAGCAAACAGGAUUAGAUACCCUGGUAGACUGUCA
rnacentral:rRNA from 1 species